UCCUCUAAUUCCCUAAACCUCUCCCCAAACACAAAACCCACGAUUUCAUCCCCAAACCCAAAACCCACGAUUUCUCCCAAAAUCUCUCUAAAUCACCGACGAGUUCUUCUCCAAAUCUCCAUCGGCGAUUUCUCUUCAGCUUUUCCACCGGUCUGCGUAUCGAUCUACUGCCUUUCUUGAGACCGACGGUUUUUGCAUCUCUUCAUAUCAACGUUCAUCUACUGCCGGCAAUCUUCAUCUCCACAUCUCUUGAUCUCCACAUCGAAAUUGGUAUUUCUAUUUCUUCUAUUGGUAUAUUUCGAUUUCUUCUAUUUCUAUCUCCAAAUCGAAAUUGGUAUUUCUUUUUCUAUCUCCACAUCGACAGUUUGGCCAACAUUUACUAAUCUAAACUCUAUAUAUGAAACCAUCUGGUCCAAUCUAACUUCUAUAGGUUUUUAGGAAUGUGAUUAGGAUAGUUGAUUUUGUUGAUUUUUAACAGUUAGAUUGACAGUUGAUCACAUUGCCUAAACUUUAUAAAUAUGUAUCAGUUUUUAUUAAGGAAAUCGUGAAAAAAUUGGUUUAUUUUCUGUUUUUAUUUUAACUAGUUACAACUGGAGCUAGCACCCAACGCGUUACAGACAUAGUUCUCCCAUACUCAUCGAGUCAUCGUCACUUGUCCAGGAGUUUAGGUAUCAGAACGGGCACUUAGACCAAUAGUCCAGUCCAUCUACCUCAAUUGAAGCUAAAGUGCGUGAUGAUCGCUGAAACCUCAAGUGUAAAUAUCACAAAUCAUCUCUGGCCUCUUAGAUUUCAAUCAGAGUUUAUCAGUACCCGAUCUAUCUAUACAGCCUUUUCUCGCAUCUGUGAUCUCCCACGGACCCAUUAAACUAUGUAAAUUUUGGACCUUUGAAAACCAUUUCUUCAAGACCUGAAGAGAAUUAUAUUCCUGAAGGCACAAAGAACCACGUCGAAAUAUGUUCCUUGUCUUCUCCUUUUAACAACGCCGCAAAUUAACUUAUAAAUGAAUAAACUUAUACAUCAGUAAAUUAUAAAGAUUAAAUAAAAUAUUUAUGUAUCUAUUUUUUUAUAAUCCUUUUUAAUAACAUUUAUGUAUCCAAACUUUUUUAAUAAAAUAUUUAUGUAUCUAUACGUUUCUCCAAUCUUUAAUUAAAAGUUUCACAAUCUGAAAAUUUCACAAUUUAUUUUAUAUCAAUUUUCGUUUGUUUAUCGUUUUAUCUUUGGGUUUUUGUUUCGGUUUUUGUUUUAUCUUCCACAUUAUGGUUUUAUUUUUAUUAUUUCUGUUUGGGUUUAGGUUCAUCGUUUUUAUUUAAAUUAUCUUUUCAAUUUAUUAUUUAAAUUAUUUCUGUUGGGGUUUUUGUUUUAAAUUCCCAAUUUGGUGUUUUACUUCCCAAUUUGGUGUUUUACUUCCCAAUUUGGUGUUUUAACUUCCCAAUUUUGUUUUAAUUAUUUUGUUUCUGUUGGGGUUUUUGUUUGGAAUGGACCUUGUUUCUGUUUUAUGUUAAUUUUAUUAUCGUUUUAUUAUUAUUAGUUCAAGUUAUAAUUUUAUUAUUUUGUUUCAACUUCUUGUUUUCAGAUUUUAUCUCUACAUUCCCAAAUUUCCGCCGGACUGCAUAUCUUCAUCUCCUCAUCUAUUGUCGGCGACUUUCAUAGGUAUUUUUCUUUCUUUUUUAAAAAUCCAAAUAAAUUUGAUAUGAAUGUAAUAAAUAAAAUGCAACCAAUGAAUCCUCAUGAAAAUCUUUUAAAAAUGCAACCCAUGUAAUAAAUAAAAGGCAACCCAUGUAAUAAAUUUCUUUUUUCUUUCUUUUUCAAUUAAAAGAAAAUCUUUUAUGUAUGCCCAUGAAUCAGAUAAUACUAUCUUAUUUCCAUUGUUUACAAGUAUAUGGCUUUUAAUUUCAUGAAAAAAAUAGAACCUUGGAAUAAUUUUGUCGGCAGGCCGAGCUGAGCCGAACCGAGCCUGCCGAGCCCGAGCUGAGCCGAGCCUGCCGAGCUGAGCCUUUCUUAUUAUGAUUUAUUUUUUUAAUUUUCAUGCUAUAUUUUUCAUGAUAUAUAGAUACUCUGAAUUAGUAUCUUAGAUUAUACAGACAUGCAACUCAUUUUUGCAUGUUUCAAUUAUUUUAUAGAAUGGCCGACAAUGAUCGAAAUUGGAUGUACAACCUGUUAAAUCUCCUGUCGAGAGAUCUCUUCCAAACCCAAUUGCGAGAAUGAGGGCCAGAAUUGGGCGGAACUGCACAACGAUAGGAAUGGGG
rnacentral:lncRNA from 1 species